AGCCGCGGGUCGGUGCAGCAGGAGCUGCUGCUGCCUGCUCUGCUGCUGCAGCCGCUGCUGCAACCGCUGCGACUGCUGCUCCCGCCGUGCCCCGCUGCAUCCCGGCGGUUGGAGCUGCAGCACGGAGCCGGGCAGCCGCACGCAGCGGGGACAUGCUGAGAGACUCCCGGACGUCGCAUCUGUGAUCCCGGGCAUGGAGCAGCGGGCGGCCGAGCGGGCUGGGGGCUGGUAGUGCCAGCAGCAGUGCUGCUCUUCUCCGCUUCGCCCGGCUGUCGGAUCCGAGAUCAUGUCAGUUAAUAUUGUAGCUUUUGGGAAUGAGAGAGACGUGCUUUCAGAAGACAGCCAGCAGUCGAGUCUGAUGUGGAGCUAUCUCAGGAGGAGCGCUCUCAUUUCCGAGAUCGACAGCAGUCCGUCCGCCGAGCACGCCAGGAGCGCCGUCACCACCGAGUACCAAGCCUGCGUCUUCGGCAAUGUCAGGCUGGUGGUGCACGACUGCCCGCUCUGGGAUAUAUUUGACAGUGACUGGUAUACCUCCCGCAGUCUCAUUGGAGGAGCUGAUAUUAUUGUGAUUAAAUACUCCGUCAACGACAAGACCUCAUUUCAAGACUUAAAGGAUAGUUAUGUUCCAAUGAUAAAAAAGGCAUUAAACCACUGUUCAGUUCCAGUAAUAAUUUCUGCUGUUGGUGCAAGAAAAAACGCAGUGCCCUGUACAUGUCCACUGUGCACCCUGGACAGGAGGAGCUGCGUCACCACCUCUGAGGGCGCCCAGCUGGCCAAGGAGUUUGGAGCCACCUACCUGGAGCUGCAUGCUCUCAAUGACUUCUACAUACAGAAGUACUUUGGAGGCGUGCUGGAAUAUUUUAUGAUCCAAAGUUUGAAUCAGAAGUCAUCUGAAAAAAUGAAGAAAAGAAAAAAGACCCAAAAGUGCCAUCGACUGCAACCACCUCAGCUGGAACAGCCAGAAAAAAUGCCCAUUUUAAAAGGCGAAGCCUCUCACUACGACUCCGACCUACACAACUUGCUAUUCUGCUGCCAGUGUGCGGACGUGGCCUUUUACUCAGAAGACUCCAGCAAAGUAGUGGAAGCUCACAAGGUCAUCCUGUGUUCGGUGAGCCACGUCUUCAUGCUUCUCUUUGAUGUGAAGAGCCCUGCGGACAUCCACGACCCCUCCAUCCUGCGCACAGCACAGAGCCUCUUUGCGGUGGAGGCUGGGGCUGGGCUGCCCACUCCUCAUGGUGUGCCGCCAUGCAGUGUGCCCAUCAGGGUGGUCGUUAAGGACUCUGUCUUCUGCUCCUGUCUGCCAGACAUCCUGCACUUCAUCUACUCAGGUGCUUUCCAGUGGGAGCGAUUAGAAGAAGAUAUAAAAAAGAAGUUGAAAGAUUCUGAAAAAACUGAACAUGUGCUUGAGAAAGUUAAAUGUAUCCUGAAAACUCCAGGGAAGGUAAACAGUUUGCAAGACUGCCAAUCUCACCAGAUAAAGCGGCUGUACAGUACUUCUCUCAGGCUGUUCUUUAACACGCCUGUCCUGGCAGAUGUCAUCUUCACAAUACAAGGUGCAACUGUACCAGCCCACAGAGCAGUUCUGGUAGCUCGCUGUGAGGUAAUGGCAGCUAUGUUUAAUGGUAAUUUUCUAGAAGCAAAUAGUAUUCUGGUUCCAGUGUAUGGGGUUUCCAAAGACACUUUCCUCUCCUUUCUGGAGUAUCUUUAUACCGACUCCUGCUGUCCAGCCAGUAUUCUCCAAGCUAUGUCCCUCUUGAUCUGUGCAGAGAUGUACCAAGUAAUGAGGCUCCAGCAUAUCUGUGAGCUCUACAUUAUCACACAGCUCCAGAGCAUGCCCAGUAGAGAACUGGCAUCCACGAGUCUCAGCAUUGUUAGCUUGCUCAAAAAAGCUAAGUUUCACAAUUCUGAUUGCCUUUCCACUUGGCUUCUUCAUUUUAUUGCCACUAAUUACCUCAUCUUCAGCCAAAAGCCUGAAUUUCAAGAUCUUUCAGCCGCUUCCGUACAAAUCAUUGAGAGAUGAGCAUGUCCUGCUCCAUCAAACUUACACCGAGACAGCUGAAGGCAAGAAAUGAGGGUGCAAAUGUAAAAACAUAUGGACCAGGUGAAAACAUUCUGUUCUGGCUUUCAAGACACCAGUACUCUUGCAGGCACAGCUCUGGUGGAAACUCACUGGUAGCUGGCAGCAGUUACUGUGGAGGAGCGCAAUUUUGUAGAGAUGCACAGAUGGCCAUCCAGUAUGUACCUGAAGCAACUUGCCGAAUACAGGAGUUACAUCCACUCUCAGAGAUGCCACUGCACAAUAAUGUAAGGAGACUGAACAUACUGGAAGUGCAUCUCAGCUGGGAAAUGUCUAAAUGGGGAUCAUAUGAAAUACAAUAAAUGUAUCAGCAGCGAAAAUGAACACUGAUGUGCCCUUGAACACUGUAUGCAGUACUGUAGCACACAUACUAAUAUACUUCACUUUCGUAAUAAAUGAUUCUACUUUUUUCUCUUUAAAGCUGUAAGAAAUGUAUCAUGAAGAAUUUUUGAGGUAUGAGGAUUUUGCCUUCACAGGGUUUAAACUGGGUCAUGUCAUGACCGGCAUCCAUUCCAUUCCACUUUUUAAUUGGAUGUCAUGGUCAUUUUCGGCUGUUAAGGUGUUGAAAAUGUAUUUUUUUCUAAGUCUGUGUAUAGUAGGAAUAAGAUCAUCACUGCUAGGAUGCUGAGAGGCCAACUCAAAACGUCUCAGAAUGCAGAAAUUUAAUGCAAUUUGUUGGCUUGCAAAAUAAAGGGUAAGAUUAAUAUAUGCUUUAGUAAGCAUUAAUUUUCUACUCCAGGUUAAGUUUGUCCCUUCUUUCACUAGGACUCUUAUAGUCAUAUAAUCAGACAUUUUAAUCCUGGGGAAUGCCUAUGCAUCAGUAUACUCUUUAAUGCCUGCAAAAUGUCUAGAAAUAAAAAUACUUUUUCCUCCCAGUGAAUAAGAUAAGACAGCCUGCUUUCGUAAUCUGUAGAGCACUUUUGUUAGUGCGGUCAUACUGUAUGUCCAUACUUUCUGAAUGAGUGGUUAAUUUCUCAGAUAGAAGAAGUGAAUCUUGAAUACUGUGCAAAGGAUGACUCUUCAACAGCAGACAGCCUUUAAGAGUACGUUCUUUGGAUCACCGACCUGAAUCAUUCAUUUCUCUUACCAUUAAUAUUGUAGUCUGUAUUAAUGUUAUGGGAAAUGAACCCAACAUUUGCACUGAGAGUAUCUAUUCGAGCAUAGAUAAUUUUAUUAUCAGUCCUCUUGUACUUUUUUUUUCCAAUUCCACUUUGCCAUUUACCCCUAGUUUUGUUAAGUGUUAUUUGAGCCUAGAAAGACAAGGGAAAGACUGAAAAAAUUAUUGAGUGUUUCCCCAAAUUUCAGAGCCGAGCAUCUCAAAUAUACCAGGAAACUGUCUGUGAGAUGAAGACGGAACUGCAGAUUGCUGGAGCUGAAACCUUUCUGCUUAUAUGAUUUUUUUUCUAACAUUUCAUUAAAUUUUCAUAGGUAAAUUUUUCGUUUCAAAUUCCAUGCUAGAAUCAAAGGAAUGUUUUUUCUUUCUGGUGAUGUUUUGCAUAAGGUGGAACUAUGUGAGAAUGUGUUCUAUUCUGGGGAAGAGAAAGUAAAAUUUUUCUCUUGGCUGGCUAGUGCAGGCUGGAAAUUCUAAGAUGAGUUUAUGUAAGAAUGACAAAUCACUUCUAUUUUUAGCUUGUCAGGAGACCUUAGAGUUCAUUAAAAGACAAGAUCUCACUUCAUCUUGCACAUAUAUAGUGCAUAACACUGCUUUUUCAAGAUCACUGAAAAAAAACUGAAAAAAAGGAUUAGGAAUGUAAAAUGUAUUACACUUAAUUUUAAAGAAAGGGUUUUUUUUUUCCCUAAUUAUGUUAUUCACCUUAGUAGAAAUUAGAAGCAUAAAUUAGCUGGCAAGGUAGGAGUAAAACUUGUAUUUUCUCUGAGCAUAAAGUCAUGAACAGAAAUGGGCACACAGCUGGACUUUACCUUGCCUGGAUACCUGGCUGCAUGCGCAAUCAGUGCAUGCUUCUGUAUCAGCAGCCAGCUGACCACUGACGAUACGGUUUAUAUGACUCAUACUGACUUCUCGUACAAAACUGAGGCAAAUUUAUGUGAAUGUUUGCCUGUAUUGCGCACAGUCCUGAAUUUUUAAUGCUCUGAAAGCUUUCCCAGUCUUUUUUUUUUUGCUAGAAGUUAGUAUUUUGCCAGUAAUUUAAGUUUAGAUAAGGUAUGAUGAAAUACUAUUUUUAACUUGAUGCGAAUGUUUUAUAGACAUUUAAAGUAGGCCCAAUGGGUAUACGAACUUUGUAUCCAACCAAUAUUUUGAUACUGUGGUAAUCACAGGUUUUAUACAGAGAAACCAGGCAGCGUAAAGAUAUUUAUUAUUUAUUCACAGGCUUACAGCAUAUUAUUAUUCAGGCAGUAAAACAGCUUUCCACCCUACUGAGUAUCCCAUAAUGCCACCUGUAUCAGGUGGAGAGCUAUGUUAUCCUUGCAAACAGAACAUGAGAGAAAUUUAAAUUCUUAGAAUAAUUGUAAUUGCUAAUUCUCAUUUUUAUUCUGUGUGAUGAUUUUCUGUAGAAAUGUGUUUAUCCCAAAACUAUUUUUAAAACUGAUAGCUUGACAUUUGAAAAUAUAGCUGAGAGAAGAUCAUGAUGCUUGGUUAGUUGCUGAUGGUAUUUUUUUAGUAUUUUGAUAGCACAGUGCAAACAGAGAUCAUGGGUCAGAUAUUAUUGCCAUAUUGAAUUUGGUAUUUGUGAAUAACUUUGUAUGAAUAACGUUAGUAAAAUUUAAAGUAAAAUUUAGGAAGCAGCUGGAAAGUUAUUUAAACAAGUGAAUUUGAGGAGGCAGAGGAAAACUGAUGUGUUGCUACCAUAGGAAAGGUACUGCUCAAGAUGUUUUACAGGCAAUCCACAGUUAUCCUAUUAGUAGCAUCCUGUUCACUUUAAAAUAGACUUGCCAGGUUCUGAUAAACACUGUAUUAUAGAGUGAACUAGUUUCCUGAUUUUGUAACAGCCCCAGAGGUUUCUUCUCUGUGAGAACUAGGAUUUGCAUCUAGUCAGAUCCCACAGAACCAGCAGCUGCCUCAACAUGAUGGCAUUCUAAGCUACAUUUCUUACACAGCCCUGGGGGUGACAGGCGGAGACCCAAAUGUCUCAAUGCCAACUCACGAGGGUUGCGCACGUCUCAGCAUCUCCUGACUCCAAGAGCAUUGGGAACGUUGGGUUCAAAGAAGGAGGCAGGUGGUGAAUGUGGGUAACCUUAGGCAGUAGCUGAGCAGGUUUCAGAGGGUUUUAGAUUACAGUGUUGGACAGACGUUCAGGUGGAAGUUUGACUUAUAAAUCCUUCAUUGGAGAUAACUCUUGAAAUCCUCUUUUAGAAGUGGAGUUGUAUUUAAGUGAUAGAUUACGCCGUAUAAUUUUUGCCACGUGUAUGUGUAUGCUUGUCCCAACCUAGCACUAAGACCUAUAGAGACUAAUAAAAAACAUUUCUGCAUGAAUAGUGUUUUCCACAGUAUAAUUAAAGAAUCUCUGCUCUAGUCCACUAGGUGUUGGUGUAUUUGAUUUGGGAAAACAAAAUUAGAAGUCAAAAGCAUUAUUUCAUUAUGCAUAUGCUUGUUCUUUCAAUAUGCCAUGACAAGUGUACGUGUUAUUAGAUUUAAUAUUUAAAAUUUUGCUACAAAAUAAAAAGAUUUUCUCUAGUUAUUCUCAUGA